CAGGCUUGCGUGAGCAACAUGUCUUUCCUUCGGUGGCUCUUCUUUGAAGGUGUCGUCGGAGGGUCGCGUGCUUGCUCGUCUUGCUUUGGGACGACGCAUGAGUGGCUCUUUGGACACGAUCCCAGUGCAGGCUCCGUGUUUCUUGCAUCGAACUGCCCUGUUUGUCCGUUUCAUUAGUCGGUUUGCCUCGGCUCAUUCAGGGUCGGCUGCGGCUGCGCGGUGGGUUCUUGUGCUCGAUAUCCGGUUUCGGCAACGGGAUGUAUUCUCUUCCCGGUCUUUGUUCCCUAUAUCCACCGUCGUCCCUUGGGAAUCGGUUGGAUGUUAUUCGGGCAUCCUACGUUGUUCAUCGGGAGAGUCGACCCCCUACGGGCGCUUUUUCUCGUGAUGGCUCGUAGGUGCUGCGUGGCAUGCUCUCGGGUACGGUGACGCCACUGGUUAUCGUAUCGGUCCUCGUCGGCCGCCGUCAUCUCGACUCGUCGAAGCGUUAAUGCUUCUGCUCGCGUGACUCUCGUUCUUGCCUGAGGGAUCACGGGGCCUUUCGGUUUCGUGAUCUUCUCGGGGAGGCAUCGAUGUCAACCGAGGAAUGC
rnacentral:misc_RNA from 1 species